UAUUUAUAACAAGAGAACAAAAAAAGUGAAAGGUGGAAAUUCAUUUGGUGGAAAACCAAAGGAUUUCCCCAGCAAAGAAAAGUUAGCCCAAAAAUGAAAAGAGAAAAAUGAGGCAAAAACAGAGAGUAUUGGGAUUUUAUUCAAAGGGUGGUUGCCCCUGUCUGUUUAGCCAUUGAUUUUCCUUUUCCACUUUAAAAAAAAAUCAACAGCCCUUAAAUUCAUGGAAAUAUGUAGUACUAUACAGUCUAUACUUCAGCAUCAACAACAACAACCAGAUCUCUGUUUUCUGUCUCCUUUUCUGUGAUUUUAAUUCCUCCUUUUUGAUACAUAUAACAGUAGAGGCAAUGAUGAUGAUAUUUUCUUAUGGUUCUGGGCUAACUGGGUCGGGCAUAGAGACUAUCCGACCCGUAUCUUGGCCUGGCGGAUCACCGGACGGCCGGCGAUCCGAAGGUUUUUUCUUUGCAUGCUACCGGUGAUUUUGCAGCCAUGGCGCGGUUGCCUCUCUUUUGCCCGAUCUCUCUUUGCAGAUCUGAGCCUCUUAAGUACUGUGAAAUAGAUUUAAAACUUCUUCUUCUUUGAAUUUCAACUACUUUUUGUCUCUAAGUGUUAGCUUAAGCAUCAGGCCAAAAGAAUGAGGAUUUUGAGAAAGAUUGACUUCUUCUGCCAAAAGCAUUUUCUUCACUAUGACUCUGUGUUAGGAAAAUUAUUUUCUAAAUAAUUUCAUUCUGUACUGUAAAUAAUUUUUUGGUCGUGUCAAACAUGUAUAUCUUAGGACAUGCAAAACCAAAAUAUUCCAUUCAUGAUUUAACAAAACCAAAUUCAAUUGACCGACCAUGUUAUGUGGUAAACUGUACCCAAAAUACCCUUUAACUUUGCUGCAGAUAAGCCUACUAUAGCAUGGACUCAAGUUGUAAAUAAGCAUACAUCAGAGGGCAAAACAAGAAAUAUUGAUGCCUUAAAUUAUUCUCUUUAACACAAAGCAGAAAACCAAAAGCUCACAAAGAAUGAGGGUUGCAGAGAGUAGAGGGAAGCUCAAGGGUAGCUGCUCCUCUCUACAAUUACUAUGAUUUCAUUUUUACCAAACAAUGCCCUUGUGCAGUAAACUAGAGUGAUUUUAUUUUGUGUCUCACAUAAUUUAUAAUUUACAUUGGUGAACAAAAUUCUGGGACCACAGAGGCACAAAAUAAAAAAAUUUCAGUAAACUAUAUCCAAACGACCUCUCUACUCUAUCUCCAAGUCCUCACUCCAUAAAAGAGAAUCAAUAGUAAUAAUAAUUGUAGCAAAAAUCUGAGGCUGUGAUUAUGAUUUUUUCUUCUGUCUCUGAGCAACUUGAUUAGGGCAGGAGAAUAAUCGGAACCGUAACUUGGCGGGGCAACUCGGACGGUGACGACUUGCAACCGGUGUUUGCAGCCAUGGCGGUGUCUCCAAUCUCUUCCCUUAUCUUCAUUAUUACAGAUCUGAGCCUCAAUUGGAAGGUUAUUUUCUUAAGUGCAAACUUACAGGCUCUUUUCCCUUAAAUUUUGGAAUUCGCAGGUGAAAAACCCACGAGAAUUUCCCCUAAAAAAUGCAAAAAGGUUAGCCCAUAAAGAAAUGAGGCAAAACAGAGAGUAUUGAGAUUUUCAUUAGAAGGGUGGUUUCCCUUCUCUGUUCCGCCAUUGAUUUUUCUCCAUUUUCAAAAAAAAAACCAACAGCCCUUGUUUAUGACAAAAGCAGAAGCAGACAGGAUUUAAGUGGGCAUUUGGACAUAAGAAUUGUGAAAUUCCGGAAAAAAGUAAAAUCUUUUUCACUGAAAUCUGUAUUUACUUUUUGUGUUUGUGUUUGUGUUUAUCUUGCUGAUGGAAGUUACAUAAAGAGGCAGUGAUGAUGAUGUUUCUUGUAUCUGGGCUAACCAAUUUGGGCAUAGAGAUGAGCCGACCCGUAUCUUGGUGUGGCAACCCGGUAUGGCCUGUGAUUGAGAUAUCUGUCUCUCACUUGCAACUGGUGUUUUGCAGCCAUGGCGUAGCUGGCUUCUCUUUGCCUUAUCAUAACACAUCUGAGCCCCAUUUGCUGAAAAGAAAAAAAAAAGAUAAUCUUUUCUAUGAUUUGGAUUAAUCGAAAAUCAGGAAGGGAAGCCUUGGAGCAAUGGUAAAGUUAUUUUCGUGUGACUAGUGGUGGCAAAAUGGUUAAAAGAAAAUAGCUAUCGACCAUAUUAUUCAUUAAAAAUAGGUUGGAAGUAAUGGGUCAAAUGAAUAAGAUCUAUAUUAUCCACUUAGAAAAUGGAUAGCCUAGUGGAUAACCAAUGGAUAACUAAUAGGUUUAACUUUUACAUUGGGUUUAUCAAGUUUGGGAGACUUGGAAUUCUUCCAAAAGUGAUCAUAUCCAAGAAGCCAUGGACUACAACGGCAAAACGAGGACAUAAUAUAGAAGUGAAAGAGGGUGUGAUGAUAAUUCCUGUACACAAGGAAUUGAGGAUUGAGUUGAAGAGGCUCGCCUCUUGGCAGGGCAACCCGAUUUUGAAGGUGUCUUAAGGCCCAGAUGCAGCUUGGGUUGGAGCCAUGGCGGUCUGCUCAUUGCCUUAUCAUUAUACACAUCUGAGCCGCCUUCUUAUUUUAGAUGAUGUUGACCUUCUUGGCUCUAGGGUACAGUGGUAAAUGGAGCGUUUGAAGCAUCGUAUGAAACAGAUCCUGUUUACGUUAAGCUGCAAAUGCGUUUGUACUCUUGAAAAAGUAUGGUUUACAGUAUGGCUUAUCUAUAAAGGACUAAACUGGCUUGGAGUUGAGCAACACGUUAUUGAAACGGGAAGUUCUCUAUGGUGCCACAGAAGUGAUGAACGUAUCAUUUAAACACCUUUGAAUUCUUUCUUAUUGUCCUGGCAAUGUUAUUCCCCUUAAUUGUGAUAGAUAUGACUUAUGAGGCUGCAGAGGGAUGAGGAGCUUCUAAGGUGAUAGAACACCCUUUUGGCUUUUCUUGAAGGUUGCAUUCCUCAUAAACCCAUCCCGCAAUUCUCUAAAUUGAAGCCAUCCUUCGACUGUUAGACUUGUAAUAUCUUGAUGAGCAUUUUCCUUGAUUUCUAGUAAAGUUUGGCAUUUGCGGUUACUGGUAUCAAAAGUUGCUUUAAGCAGUGUUCAGGCAUUUACAACAACCAAUUUUGUCAGGGAAAAAGCUAAUGGAGGUUACAGUACCGGAUUUUUCUUGUGCUCUUAUAUUUGGGAUUUGUUGCAAGUCUUUUACUAGAUUAAAUUCCCAUGCUCCAGGUGGUUCAAACUUAAGUUUCUGAUUAUUCAAGGAUGUGUCAAGGGGAUGCUUUUUGUGGUGUCUUUCCAUGGGUUUCAAAUAGCUUCAACACAGCUUUGAGAAGAAAUGAGAUUUUGAGAUUGACUGCUUAAUUGAGAAAGAUUUUUUUGCCAGAGGCAAUUGAUUAUUCAGUCAAAGAUUGACUGCUGAAUUGAUUUGCUUUUUUGUAUUUGUUAGAGGAGUAUAAGUUAUAUACACUAUCAAUAUAAGGAACUUUUACAUUCUCAGAACACAAUUAGUAAUUCUUUGAUAGCUUCUACACCAGCAGGGUGAUGAACAUCGUUGGUUUGUAUAUCAGUGCUAUACAUUUGCAGCAUAUAUUUCAAGUACUUAUUGGACCAAAUGAUUAAAUUUCAGA